AGCCCAACAGGCACUCCAUGUCUCCACCCGGCUACCAGUCUACCACCCUUGCUGCCCCGGCGUCCUGCCCCCUCACGAAAGCGACUCCGCCACCGGCUUCGGGCUCCCUAACCCUAGGGUCUAGGCUGCGCGGCGGCGAGCGGGCUGCGCCGCGCGCGGCAAGCUGUAAGUGGUAGCAGCAGCACGGGCCGUGGCCUCCGCGGCGCGGCUCCGCGCGUAGGCUGCAGCCAGGGCGUGGGGCGGCAACGUGGGGCGGUGGGAGCUAGGCGGGCGGUGGUGGCGGCGGCGGCCAGCCAAGACCAGGACUCCAGCCUCCGGGUCGGCACUCGGCAGGGAGUAUACACUAGAUACAAGCAAGAAGAUUUUUCGAGAUGGGAUCCACUUUGCAUCACGUUUUGUCGAUGUAUCAAACGAUUUUUGUAGUCUUCCGAGCAUAAUGAAUAUUAUUGAUGGAAAAGUGCCGGUGAUUACUGUAUGUAGAACAAAUUAGGUUGCAACUUAUUGAUAUGCGAGAUAGUAAAGUGGUGGAGUAUAUAUAUCCUCAAUCUUGGUGGUGAAAGUAAGGCUAGUCUCAAUGCAUGUUUUAUGAGAAUGUAAUAUACAUUAAAUAGGUUGCCACAUAAGUAAAAUUGCUGACUUGGCAGGGUCAUUAAAUGAAGGAGUUUCAUCAGAUGAGAGAGGAGUUUCAUCCCCAUGAAACUCAUAUGGCUCGGUUAUCUAGUUUAUAGUCUUGGUAACUGUGCUAUAAAACUAUGCAUUGAGAUUGGCCUAAGACUACAGGUUGUGAUAUUAUUACAAGGGGCUAAUCCUGCGAUUUUUUUUUUUUUUUGAAAUCUUGCAAUGAGUUUGGUCACAAAGUGAGUUCUUUAAUCUCUGAAUUCCAUUGGCUCCAAUCAGAACAUAAGAAAUGGAAUGCAAGUGCUCCUAAAAGAUGGCGUCCACCACCUGUUGAAGUUCUGAAAAUGAACAGGUGGAGCUUUUUUAUUUAUUACAUUACAAGAGCAAAAAACUAAAGGAAGAUUGGACGCUGUGCACAGUGCAGGGAUGGUGUUAUGCCAACAUCAGAAUGAGGCAUCACACGAUUGCAAUCGGUAACUCAGGUAAAUGCACUGAAGUUUAGCUCUUCUAAUUGCUCUGCUGAAGCCUGAAGGUAUGCUCUUCAGAGUUCAGAGAGUUCUUCAGAGGUAUGCACUGAAAGAGUUCAGAUGUAAAUGCACUAAGACAUGAAUUCCAAUUGGUAUACAUACAUUAUUAUACACGCAUGAAUAUUUUGUUUAUCCCCAUUAUGAUAUGAUGUCUUCCCGUAAGUGAUCGUGCUGUGCAUGCCAAAGCUUCCGUUUAUAUAUAGUGGUGGAGUCCGUCUGAUUUCAUUGAGUUCAAGCUCGGCUACACAAAAGUAAUGUACCCUCGCCGUCGACGACGUUGACGUCCUCUCGGCACGUGUGGAAGACGAUACUCUCUGCACGCUCCGGCAUACAGCAUGUAAAGCGGCUCAUCGAUUGGUAGGCCACCUAGAGGUCUUCAAACACCGUCGAGACAAAGGGAUAACAUAAUUUAUGGUUUGGAAAAUUAGGCGAAGGAAAAGGUAAAAGAAUAAUGUAGAUGUGAUUUUGAUCGAUCGGAUAGCCACAAUCGGUCAUGGCCCUUAAUACUUUUAGGGUGGGAAGGUCUUACCUGUGAAUAA